AGAUAUGGUCUUGGCUGUUUCGCAGGCAUCAGGUGUAGAGUGCACGAAUGACAGUUUUCCCUUUGAAAUGACGUACGCCUUACAGAAGCUUGGAAUGCAUUUAGAGAUUUUUGUUGAAGUCUUGCUUCCUUUGAGCUUCCUGCAAACAAUCAACAAUGGGAUAAUACAAUCAAUCCAAUAGUUACUUUUGGUGUUCUUUUUGGAUGGACUAAUCUGAAGAUGCUAGCUAGCUUGCACCAUCAUCAUAUAGUCUAGAAGGAAGGGCGAGGAUUAUAGUGAAAAUAAAGGCAAUUCGCCAUACGGAGGAAAUGCCUACUAAUCCAUUUUUGUACUUCGUUUCUUACUAUUGACUGUUUGAACUGUUGUGGUAGGACUCAGGCUUUCAAAGUUAUUUGGCAUGUGGACAUGUUUUUAUUUUCGUCUGUACAGUUUUGUGUUCUUUUGGCUUCAGGUUGCUACUGCACAGAAAGUGCAGUGAGCUCAGGUGAUGCAUGAAAAAAACUGCAGACCUAGCAUAGUUUUUGUAUUUGGAUUUUGUAACUAAUUGUGUGAUGCCCUUAUGUUAAAAUGAUAAUU